rnacentral:rRNA from 1 species
AUCAGGGGUAAACCUGUGGAACUCGAACGAACGAACGGGGAGAUUCACCGUAUUUCCGUAGCGGGUCCGCGGCGCGACGCGCCGCCCCGUCGUGACGGUCGCGUUUGCGCGCGCAUCGUCGCGCGGGCGCGGCACGCGUCGCGUCGUCGCACGGCCCGCGGAGUGCGUGCACUUCUCCCUUAGUAAAACACCGCGACCCGUUCGCACGAGUGUGCGUGUGCGAUCUAACGCGUCGUGCGGUUGUCCCGUUUCGAACGUAAAAAAUUCGGGACGGAGCCGCGACGUAUCGCGAUCGCCGUCGGACGGUAAAGCACGAGGUUCGCGUUCGCCGCGUAUUGUGGUGGUGCGGCGUGCGGUCUCUCUCGGGGGAUCGCUCGUCGCCGCGCAGGCGUCCGUGACGCGUACCGAACGGACYGCGUUCGGACCCCGACGUUUCGUGCGUCGCGGGCUCCGGGCGUUCGCGUACGGCGCGCGUGCGCUUAGGUGCGCGCGCGUCGCGCGCGUCACGCGUCCGUUCGUUGUGUAUGGCGCGUCGUCUCGGACGGAACGCGUCCCGGUCCGCGGUGGUUUUGUUUCGGGCACUCACAGGACCC